AUUGAACGCUGGCGGCAGGCCUAACACAUGCAAGUCGAACGAGUGGCGGACGGGUGAGUAAUGUCUGGGAAACUGCCUGAUGGAGGGGGAUAACUACUGGAAACGGUAGCUAAUACCGCAUACCAUCGGAUGUGCCCAGAUGCGAUUAGCUAGUAGGUGGGGUAAAGGCUCACCUAGGCGACGAUCCCUAGCUGGUCUGAGAGGAUGACAAGCCACAUGGGAACUGAGACACGGUCCAGAGUCCUACGGGAGGCAGCAGUGGGGAAUAUUGCACAAUGGGCGCAAGGCUGAUGCAGCCAGGCCGCGUGUAUGAAGAAGGCCUUGGGGUUGUAAAGUACUUUCAGCGGGGAGGCGGUACGCGAAGAAGAAGCACCGGCUAACUCCGUGCCAGCAGCCGCGGUAAUUG
rnacentral:rRNA from 1 species